CACGAACGCUGGCGGCAGGCUUAACACAUGCAAGUCGAGCGCCUCGCAAGGGGAGCGGUAGACGGGUGAGUAACGCGUGGGAAUCUACCCAUCUCUACGGAAUAACGCAUGGAAACGUGUGCUAAUACCGUAUACGUCCUUCGGGAGAAAGAUUUAUUGGAGAUUGAUGAGCCCGCGUUGGAUUAGCUAGUUGGUGGGGUAAAGGCCUACCAAGGCGACGAUCCAUAGCUGGUCUGAGAGGAUGAUCAGCCACACUGGGACUGAGACACGGCCCAGACUCCUACGGGAGGCAGCAGUGGGGAAUAUUGGACAAUGGGCGCAAGCCUGAUCCAGCCAUGCCGCGUGAGUGAUGAAGGCCCUAGGGUUGUAAAGCUCUUUCACCGGUGAAGAUAAUGACGGUAACCGGAGAAGAAGCCCCGGCUAACUUCGUGCCAGCCGCCGCGGUAACAC
rnacentral:rRNA from 1 species